rnacentral:lncRNA from 1 species
UUCAUGCCUCCUCCUCUUGACAUUCUGCCGAAUUUGUAACUCUGGUGGGAGACAGAUGCAAUUUAUCUGUCCUACUUCUCUAUGAAGAUCCAGAAAGAUACACUCAUUUCCUAGAAUUCAUUGGGAACCAUCAAAAAUGUCAGGGCCCAUGAACAGACUGGCAAGGCAAUUUUUCCAAUGUCAAAACAAAAUCUCGAGGACCAAAAUUGAAGUUGGGCAAAUUGGCCCAGAGAAGCCUCUGGCAUGGAUUCAAAACUGCCUGUGGCUCCCCUGGGACUAGGAGGACAGGGUAUGUUGGUACCUUCAGCAAAGAUGCUCAGUUUGAAUUGAAGACACUUUAAUUUAUGUGAAGUGAUUUCUCUCCAGUUUAACUCGGAGCAGGGCUGCCCUGGGAACCAGGUACCUGAUAUCUCUGCCCUGUGUACAGACCAAGCGUGUUUAUGGAUUCCUAGGCAGCAGUCUUGGUAGCCCAGGGGAGGGUAAAGUGGCCUGGUCAUACUUCUGCUCAUAUUCCCUGCCAUUUCCAGAACCCCAGGUCUUUCCAUUCCUUGUCUUUCUCCCGGUAUUUUAACUCUGACAGCCUUGCUCUAGAGAGAAGAGAUACCGAGAAAUGCAAUUAGGUGGAGGACCAGUGAAGCACCAGAGGUGUGAGAACGCUUCUGGACCUUCAGCCCUACCCAGGCCCCAGAAGACUGUGUCCACAUAGCUGUCUGUGCCCAUCCCACAGCAGAUGAGUCAUGUUACCCCAUAGAACUACAAACAGAGGAUGGCUACUGUUGCAAACCAUUACAUCUUGAGAUGAACUGCUUUGGAGCAAGGGUAACUGGAGCAGGUAUUCUAGGAGAGAUGCAAAGCAGAAAAAUGAUUCCCAGUCUUCACGGGAAGGCCUUAUUAUUUAAGAUUCCUGUUCAGUGCCUACUUUGAAGGUGCCAGAGAAGCAAGAAGAAUUGAGAGAAAUAAGAUCCCCUCCUUGAUCUUGUGACGGAUCAGGUUCUUGCCCUUUACUUUCUCGGUCAAGCCAAUUUAUGGACUUUCAGUAUUCCUGAGGAAUGUUGAUGGGUCUGGAAGGAAAGGAGUCUAAAUUCAGUGUAACCAAGGGAAUGGUGAUAUGGAUCGCCUCGGGCAACUUUGACUGGGUCACAGACAUUGCAGUGUUCUUAAAAGAACAAUUCUUAAAAGUGAUGAUGAUGGUAAUGAAUGAUGACAAUGACACUGCAAAAGGCAUCACUGCUAUUCUGUCAGCUAUCCACUCUGGCACACAUCACUUCAUUGUGAUGUAGGGUCCAAGGGGGUCUCCUAAGGAGGAGAUGAGGACUUCAACUCACUCCAGGCACAAGUGGCCUCAAAGUGAAAAAGAAGUGAUGCUAGCAAUUCCGAUAUGCCAAAGAGAAACUGUAAAGUGCUUCCUUUAAGUAAAAAGGUGAAUGUUCUCAACAAUGAGUUAAGAAAAAAAAUCAUAUGCUGGGGUUGCUGGGAUCUAUGGGUUAUGCUCUGCUAACGCUGCCGGAAAUGACUUGGAUUAAAUGACAUGAAUCGGGAAGCCAGGGCCAUCAGAAGUGGUUUUGUGAAGAAACACAGGGAAGGUCACCAGGUCACUCUCAUCCCUUCAUUCUCUCUCUCUGAAUACCUGAUAGACUGUAAAAUAGAGCUCACCGAACGCACCAAGUCUGUGUGUACUUUCAGUAUCUAAGGAGUAAACACCCUGUGAAGUGUCAGCUGGGACCAGGAGCAUGAUUGCUACCACUGAGGCCCCCACAGAUCCCCUGUCACUGAUGCCUCCGUCCCCCCCGGGGUGCGGAAAACUUCCGUGGAAGGAGCUGUCUAAAGGGAACACGGAGUAAAGAACAUACUAUCCUUGGUCCGAGUUACUCAAAAAUAAAAAAGUUCAAAAAUAUAUAAUG